AUACGUAGGGGGCGAGCGUUGUCCGGAAUGAUUGGGCGUAAAGGGCGCGUAGGCGGCCCGGUAAGUCUGGAGUGAAAGUCCUGUUUUUAAGAUGGGAAUUGCUUUGGAUACUGUCGGGCUUGAGUGCAGGAGAGGUAAGUGGAAUUCCCAGUGUAGCGGUGAAUGCGUAGAGAUUGGGAGGAACACCAGUGGCGAAGGCGACUUACUGGACUGUAACUGACGCUGAGGCGCGAAAGUGUGGGGAGCAAACAGGAUUAGAUACCCUGGUAGUCCACACUGUAAACGAUGAAUGCUAGGUGUAGGGGGUAUCGACCCCUUCUGUGCCGCAGUCAACACAAUAAGCAUUCCGCCUGGGGAGUACGGCCGCAAGGUUGAAACUCAAAUGAAUUGACGGGG
rnacentral:rRNA from 1 species